rnacentral:rRNA from 1 species
UACGUAGGUGGCGAGCGUUGUCCGGAUUUACUGGGCGUAAAGAGCGCGCAGGCGGUCGUUCAAGUCGCGUGUGAAAGCCCCCGGCUCAACUGGGGAGGGUCAUUCGAUACUGAUCGACUCGAAGGCAGGAGAGGGAAGUGGAAUUCCCGGUGUAGUGGUGAAAUGCGUAGAUAUCGGGAGGAACACCAGUGGCGAAGGCGACUUCCUGGCCUGUUCUUGACGCUGAGGCGCGAAAGCUAGGGGAGCAAACGGG